rnacentral:rRNA from 1 species
GAUGAACGCUAGCGGGAGGCCUAACACAUGCAAGCCGAGCGGUAUUGUUUCUUCGGACAUGAGAGAGCGGCGUACGGGUGCGUAACACGUGUGCAACCUGCCUUUAUCUGGGGGAUAGCCUUUCGAAAGGAAGAUUAAUACUCCAUAAUAUAUUGAACGGCAUCGUUUAAUAUUGAAAGCUCCGGCGGAUAGAGAUGGGCACGCGCAAGAUUAGCUAGUUGGUGAGGUAACGGCUCACCAAGGCGAUGAUCUUUAGGGGGCCUGAGAGGGUGAUCCCCCACACUGGUACUGAGACACGGACCAGACUCCUACGGGAGGCAGCAGUGAGGAAUAUUGGUCAAUGGGUGCAAGCCUGAACCAGCCAUCCCGCGUGAAGGACGACUGCCCUAUGGGUUGUAAACUUCUUUUGUAUAGGGAUAAACCUACCCUCGUGAGGGUAGCUGAAGGUACUAUACGAAUAAGCACCGGCUAACUCCGUG